rnacentral:lncRNA from 1 species
AUAGUGUCGCAAUAGUAAUUCAACCUAGUACGAGAGGAACCGUUGAUUCGCACAAUUGGGCAUCGCGCUUGGUUGAAAAGCCAGUGGCGCGAAGCUACCGUGCGCUGGAUUAUGACUGAACGCCUCUAAGUCAGAAUCCGGGCUAGAAGCGACGCGUGUGCCCGUCGCCUGUUUGCCGACCAGCAGUAGGGGCCUCGGCCCCCAAAGGCACGUGUCGUAGGCUAAGCUCGCGUGGCGGACGAGCCGCGCGGGCCGCCUUGAAGUACAAUUCCCAUCAAGCGACGGGUAGAAUCCUUUGCAGACGACUUAAAUACGUGACGGGGUAUUGUAAGUGGCAGAGUGGCCUUGCUGCCACGAUCCACUGAGAUUCAGCCCUGCGUCGCUCAGAUUG